UAGGGAAUCUUCCACAAUGGGCGAAAGCCUGAUGGAGCAACGCCGCGUGUGUGAUGAAGGGUUUCGGGUCGUAAAGCACUGUUGUAUGGGAAGAACAGCUAGAAUAGGAAAUGAUUUUAGUUUGACGGUACCAUACCAGAAAGGGACGGCUAAAUACGUGCCAG
rnacentral:rRNA from 1 species